AUUGAACGCUGGCGGCAGGCCUAACACAUGCAAGUCGAACGGUAACAGGAAGAAGCUUGCUUCUUUGCUGACGAGUGGCGGACGGGUGAGUAAUGUCUGGGAAACUGCCUGAUGGAGGGGGAUAACUACUGGAAACGGUAGCUAAUACCGCAUAACGUCGCAAGACCAAAAAGGGGGACCUUCGGGCCUCUUGCCAUCGGAUGUGCCCAGAUGGGAUUAGCUAGUAGGCGGGGUAACGGCUCACCUAGGCGACGAUCCCUAGCUGGUCUGAGAGGAUGACCAGCCACACUGGAACUGAGACACGGUCCAGACUCCUACGGGAGGCAGCAGUGGGGAAUAUUGCACAAUGGGCGCAAGCCUGAUGCAGCCAUGCCGCGUGUAUGAAGAAGGCCUUCGGGUUGUAAAGUACUUUCAGCGGGGAGGAAGGGAGUAAAGUUAAUACCUUUGCUCAUUGACGUUACCCGCAGAAGAAGCACCGGCUAACUCCGUG
rnacentral:rRNA from 1 species